rnacentral:rRNA from 1 species
GAUGAACGCUGGCGGCGUGCCUAAUACAUGCAAGUCGAGCGAACAGAUGAGGAGCUUGCUCCUCUGACGUUAGCGGCGGACGGGUGAGUAACACGUGGAUAACCUACCUAUAAGACUGGGAUAACUUCGGGAAACCGGAGCUAAUACCGGAUAAUAUAUUGAACCGCAUGGUUCAAUAGUGAAAGACGGUUUUGCUGUCACUUAUAGAUGGAUCCGCGCCGCAUUAGCUAGUUGGUAAGGUAACGGCUUACCAAGGCAACGAUGCGUAGCCGACCUGAGAGGGGGAUCGGCCACACUGGAACUGAGACACGGUCCAGACUCCUACGGGAGGCAGCAGUAGGGAAUCUUCCGCAAUGGGCGAAAGCCUGACGGAGCAACGACGCGUGAGUGAUGAAGGUCUUCGGAUCGUAAAACUCUGUUAUUAGGGAAGAACAAAUGUGUAAGUAACUAUGCACGUCUUGACGGUACCUAAUCAGAAAGCCACGGCUAACUACGUG